GAUGAACGCUGGCGGCGUGCCUAAUACAUGCAAGUCGAGCGAACAGAUGAGGAGCUUGCUCCUCUGACGUUAGCGGCGGACGGGUGAGUAACACGUGGAUAACCUACCUAUAAGACUGGGAUAACUUCGGGGAACCGGAGCUAAUACCGGAUAAUAUAUUGAACCGCAUGGUUCAAUAGUGAAAGACGGUUUUGCUGUCACUUAUAGAUGGAUCCGCGCCGCAUUAGCUAGUUGGUAAGGUAACGGCUUACCAAGGCAACGAUGCGUAGCCGACCUGAGAGGGUGAUCGACCACACUGGAACUGAGACACGGUCCAGACUCCUACGGGAGGCAGCAGUAGGGAAUCUUCCGCAAUGGGCGAAAGCCUGACGGAGCAACGCCGCGUGAGUGAUGAAGGUCUUCUGAUCGUAAAACUCUGUUAUUAGGGAAGAACAAAUGUGUAAGUAACUAUGCACGUCUUGACGGUACCUAAUCAGAAAGCCACGGCUAACUACGUG
rnacentral:rRNA from 1 species